CGCGGCCUAUCAGCUUGUUGGUGAGGUAACGGCUCACCAAGGCAUCGACGGGUAGCUGGUCUGAGAGGACGAUCAGCCACACUGGGACUGAGACACGGCCCAGACUCCUACGGGAGGCAGCAGUGGGGAAUCUUGCGCAAUGGGCGAAAGCCUGACGCAGCAACGCCGCGUGGGGGAUGAAGGCUCUCGGGUUGUAAACCCCUUUCAGCAGGGACGAAAUUGACGGUACCUGCAGAAGAAGCCCCGGCUAACUACGUGCCAGCAGCCGCGGUAACACGUAGGGGGCAAGCGUUGUCCGGAUUUAUUGGGCGUAAAGAGCUCGUAGGUGGCUAAGUAAGUCGGGUGUCAAAUCCCCAGGCUCAACCUGGGUCCCCACUCGAUACUGCUUUGGCUAGAGUCCGGUAGGGGAGCGUGGAAUUCCUGGUGUAGCGGUGAAAUGCGCAGAUAUCAGGAGGAACACCAGCGGCGAAGGCGGCGCUCUGGGCCGGUACUGACACUGAGGAGCGAAAGCGUGGGUAGCAAACAGGAUUAGAUACCCUGGUAGUCCACGCCGUAAACGUUGGGCACUAGGUGUGGGGUCUAUUCAACGGACUCCGUGCCGUCGCUAACGCAUUAAGUGCCCCGCCUGGGGAGUACGGA
rnacentral:rRNA from 1 species